rnacentral:lncRNA from 1 species
UUGUAUUGUGAGUGGUCUGGCAGUCAAAUCAUCCUCAAUGGAUAUAACUGCUACGCCGUCCUUCCAUUUUAUAGGACAUGUAUUCCCACUCUCGAGUAACAAAGUGUCGUCAUCUGCCAUUUGCAGGACACCACUGUCAAUUAAAUUCUGAAUGAGGUGGCGGAGUGCCCAGCAUUCUUCUGUGUUGUGACCGCGAGAAUGGGAGUGAU